GUAGGUGCAAGCGUUGUCCGGAAUUAUUGGGCGUAAAGCGCGCGCAGGCGGUUCUUUAAGCCUGAUGUGAAAGCCCACGGGCUCAACCGUGGAGGGUCAUUGGAAACUGGAGAACUUGAGUACAGAAGAGGAAAGCGGAAUUCCACGUGUAGCGGUGAAAUGCGUAGAGAUGUGGAGGAACACCAGUGGCGAAGGCGGCUUUCUGGUCUGUAACUGACGCUGAGGCGCGAAAGCGUGGGGAGCAUACAGGAUUAGAUACCCUGGUAGUCCACGCCGUAAACGAUGAGUGCUAAGUGUUAGGGGGUUUCCGCCCCUUAGUGCUGCAGCUAACGCAUUAAGCACUCCGCCUGGGGAGUACGACCGCAAGGUUG
rnacentral:rRNA from 1 species